rnacentral:rRNA from 1 species
UACGUAGGGAGCGAGCGUUGUCCGGAUUCAUUGGGCGUAAAGAGCUCGUAGGCGGCUUGAUAAGUCGGAUGUGAAACCUCCAGGCUCAACCUGGAGUCGCCAUCCGAUACUGUCAUGGCUAGAGUCCGGUAGGGGCCCACGGAAUUCCUGGUGUAGCGGUGAAAUGCUUAGAUAUGUUGUAGAACACCGAUUGCGAAGGCAGCUCACUAAGCCAACAUUGACGCUGAGGCACGAAAGCGUGGGUAACGAACAGG